rnacentral:rRNA from 1 species
UUCCAGACUCCUACGGGAGGCAGCAGUGAGGAAUAUUGGUCAAUGGGCGAGAGCCUGAACCAGCCAAGUCGCGUGAAGGAUGACGGCCCUACGGGUUGUAAACUUCUUUUGUCAGGGAGCAAUUGAGUCCACGUGUGGGCUUAGCGAGAGUACCUGAAGAAAAAGCAUCGGCUAACUCCGUGCCAGCAGCCGCGGUAAUACGGAGGAUGCGAGCGUUAUCCGGAUUUAUUGGGUUUAAAGGGUGCGUAGGCGGAAUAUCAAGUCAGCGGUAAAAAUUCGGGGCUCAACCCCGUCGUGCCGUUGAAACUGAUGUUCUUGAGUGGGCGAGAAGUAUGCGGAAUGCGUGGUGUAGCGGUGAAAUGCAUAGAUAUCACGCAGAACUCCGAUUGCGAAGGCAGCAUGCCGGCUCCACACUGACGCUGAGGCACGAAAGCGUGGGUAUCGAACAGGAUUAGAUACCCCAGUA